rnacentral:rRNA from 1 species
AUGUCUUCACCGCCGCCAAGCCCGUCUCUUCUGCAGCCAGUCACCUCGUCGCCUCCGGCGACCACCACGACCGUCGCCCCGCUCCUGCCCACGCCGAGAUCCUCCCUCGCGCUCGCCCCCACCGUCCUCACCCUGGAGGAGGUGUCUGGGGUGCUGCGGGACCUAACCCAGGCGGUCCAGGAGAUCCACCUGUUCUUGGCCGGGUCCUACGGGCCGCACCCGGCUGCGCCGCCCAUCGCCGCCCCUGCGCUGCCGUGGCUGCUGUGGCAGCCGCCUGAUGUCUACUACACAACCUUCUUCUUGUAG